UACGUAGGGGGCAAGCGUUGUCCGGAAUCAUUGGGCGUAAAGAGCGUGUAGGCGGCCAGAUAAGUCCGCUGUGAAAACUCGAGGCUCAACUUCGAGCUGUCGGUGGAAACUAUUUGGCUAGAGUCCGGAAGAGGAGAGUGGAAUUCCUGGUGUAGCGGUGAAAUGCGCAGAUAUCAGGAAGAACACCCGUGCGGCAAGGCGCU
rnacentral:rRNA from 1 species